CCAUGAAAAUUGCUGAGCCGAGAUGCUGGCCACUCUAAGAUGCUUUUCUUCUGCUCCAUCCAUUUGCUUUAAUCACAUGGUGAAUGAAAAAAAAAAGAAAAAAAAAUCCAGUUCACAAAGCAUCGAAGAUUUAAAAAAAAAAUGACCGCAGCAUUAAAAAAGGAUAACUGGAGUCAAUUAAAAAGCUCUUCCAGGCUGCCAGUGUUAAUAGCUGUCCAGGAACACAGAGACCCCCCUCCACCUCUCUGCCGUCUGCUGAACCGCCGAGUGAGUUAUUGUCAGUCCUGGCAGCAGAGCUCAAGCAGAGAUUUCUGCACCUCGUAUGUGGCUGGGCACAGCUUGCUCGGCUGUGCUCGGCUUGGCAUCGUCCUCUGCAGGGCUGAGGCUUUGCUACAGCCUGGCCCUGCGUCCCCUCCUCUCCUAGGACAGCGCCGCUCCGAAAUCGAAUGGGAUCUGCAUCUCGGACGAGGCCGGGAGCACCUGCCUGCAGCUUGUGAGUUGUUAUUUGUGGUUUCGUAUCGAGCUCGCUGAAAAUGAUGGUUAAACACAGGUGGGAGGGGAGGCUGGCGAGGAGGCUUUUUCCUUUGGCUCUUUUUAAAAGCAAAGCAAAAGGCUUCAAAAAGUGUUCGGCUUCAAAAUUGCAAAGGAAGGAUGGGUUGGAGAGGAGGAACUAAGAAAUCAAGUGUCUGAAACCUGCUGUGGAGAAAGCAAUGCAAAAUGUUUUGUUUCAAGGUGAAUGGAAAGCUGAAACCAGCAGAAAAUCCCCCCCCUCCCCAUGAGCACAGAUGUUUCGGGUUGGUUUUUCUAGAUUAGCACAUUGCUGGAAGAAAAGAAAAUCCAUUCUUUUCUCUGUCGGCGCUCCAGGUUGCUGUCGCUUAUUUUUAUCACGUUGUAGUGACUUUGAUCUCUGAAGACUCCUUAAGUGCUUUACAAAUCAAGCAUGCAAAUCUGGGCUCAUCCACCUCUGAGAUGCCGCCACGGCCAGGGCAUCCUGCCGGUGUGGUGCCAUGCUUCUGAAAACCUCCAGCACCCUGUGCACCUGUGUCACGGGGACAUUUUGUGCUUCCAACACAGCCAGGAACUGGUGCGAAGGCCACUGGGCUGUGCUGGGGUCCCUGAGUGGUGCCAGCCCUGCUCCUCCCAUGCAAAGGAGGUGGCUUUUGCCCCGCCCUGCACCCGAACUUCUGGGAAAUUGCCACAAACCGACCAGGAGCAGCUGAGCUGGUUUGAUGAAACGGGUUUUAUUUUCAAAGCUUGACUUGAAACACCUCUUUCCCCAUCAUACUCUCUCUAUAUCACUCUCUCCCCGUGUGUUUGCCCUUCUGACUGGCAAUGCCACCAGGGCCCCCCCCCCCCCCCCCCCCCCACAC
rnacentral:lncRNA from 1 species